UAAUGGCCUGGCAACAGUCCAGUAUAUUUAGCUGAUAUUCUCUUGACACCACAAAUUAUCAACUCUCAGCAAACUCCCAGUUCCACUAAAAGGAACAGUGGUCAUACCUCUGGGACUUUUCACUGUUUGGAAGUAAAGUAUAUGUAACAUUCUUUCUGCCCUAAUUCUGUUUUCCAUAUCCAUUUUCUAUAGGUUGUAUAUUCCUUAUCUGGAAUUCUGAAGUCUGAAAUACUCCCAAAUUCCAAAUUGUCCAUGUUUACAUUGAUUCAAGAGAAUUCCUGUUAAAAAUAACAGAGAGAUAGCACGAGCAAGAAAGGGUCAGAUAAAACAGUGGAUUUGUAUCUUAGGUUCUGGAUUCCCUCACGUGACCACUGAAAACGGAUGUUUCCAGACUCUUUUGCAAAGGGAUAGUGUGACCGAAGUUUAGGCUCUCAGAUAUGAAACUGAUAUUGGCAUGCUGUCUCCUAAAACAGAUGAGAAUCACUUCAAAACUUCUUUUUUGACUAUCAAUGUUCAGAGCUGGGGAAUGACAACAGGGAGCUGACUAGAUAUCAGUAAGAAAUGCUGUGAUGAACAACAAAAAGUUCCUUCUAUGAAAUUGAAGAACCCUGAACACACACUAGAGAUUAAUGUUGCAAUAUGUAAAAUCGGUGUAAUUAUGUGAAUCAACUAAUGGUAACUGGAUUCUGAGUUAAAAGUUGGCAGAGGAUUUGCAUGAAAUAAGAAAUCAAACAUCUUAGUCAACUUUUAUUUCUAACACUUUAAAUUAAAGCUAUGUAUAUUUAAGUUAAUGACUGAAACACGCAGCGGCUAAUUUUGCUAAUAUUUUAAAAUGCAUUCUUUUGAAGUGUCUAAUGAAAUGAACUGUACAUGGGAAAUAAAGAUUUCAUUUAAUCAAAAUGAGAAUAAUUACAAGUCUUGCACUUAUACAUACAUAUUCCCUUUAAAUAGCAAAAUGCGAGCUUUACGUUCCUUUAACAUUACAGAGACUUUUACUAUCGACUUGAAAUGAUUCAACCUUGAUUUAACUGUGAAAUGCUGAAAUGUCAUUAGACCUAGUACACUUAAAAUGUUGGGUUGUUGUUGUUAUGCACUUUCAUGUAAAUUCAAACCUAUUAUGACCCUAAAAUGAACCUAUCGCUUGGUUGUUUUGGAAAGAUUUAUUCCCCAGAAGUUUACCAUUGCCUUCCUCUGAGACUGAACCUGUGGGACUUUUUCAAAACUAAGCAAUGAGUUUCAUGAUUAAGUGGAAUUUGAACCCUGGUCUCCAGAGUUGUAGUCCAAUGCUCAAACCAUUUCACCAUGCUGGUCUGUUGGGAUUACCAACAGUAAAUAUUUAUACCUGUCUUCCUAACCUUGUGCCCAUUAUAUGAUU